rnacentral:rRNA from 1 species
AACGAACGCUGGCGGCAGGCUUAACACAUGCAAGUCGAACGCCCCGCAAGGGGAGUGGCAGACGGGUGAGUAACGCGUGGGAACAUACCCUUUCCUGCGGAAUAGCUCUGGGAAACUGGAAUUAAUACCGCAUACGCCCUACGGGGGAAAGAUUUAUCGGGGAAGGAUUGGGCCGCGUUGGAUUAGCUAGUUGGUGGGGUAAAGGCCUACCAAGGCGACGAUCCAUCGCUGGUCUGAGAGGAUGAUCAGCCACAGUGGGACUGAGACACGGCCCAAACUCCUACGGGAGGCAGCAGUGGGGAAUAUUGGACAAUGGGCGCAAGCCUGAUCCAGCCAUGCCGCGUGAGUGAUGAAGGCCUUAGGGUUGUAAAGCUCUUUCACCGAUGAAGAUAAUGACGGUAGUCGGAGAAGAAGCCCCGGCUAACUUCGUGCCAGCCGCCGCCGUAACAC